AUAUAAAGAACGCCGAAAACGGAGUUCGUAUGAAGAAGUUAUGAAUUUCCGAAGUUUAUUAAUCAUUUUGUAUUUAAAUUUAAAUCAAAAUCGGAAGCCUUAUCCGAAGACGAGUCACCGGUGUGAUCCGGAGUACGCCCCGCGUACGAGGGUACGCUACCGCGUACUCAGCAUAGUGUCGACACUUCGGAUGACGCAUGCAGUGACGAUUUCGGAAGCAGUACGCGCUGCGUACUGCAGUACGCCCCGCGUACUCCGAGGCUCCAGCCUCUAUAAAAGGGAUCCGAAGGCAACCGAGAGUUUUGUUCAUUUCUUCUCUUCUCUCUCCCGUUUUGCAUCGUUUUGCGUGCCAGAAAUACCCCGAAGCCCCGGUAUCAUACUCUAGCCCCGAGGCAAGUCCCGAGAUCCCGAAGAUCCCGAGAAGUGCGGUUCCCGAGUCGAAGCUCUGCCCGCGAGAAGUUCGAUUUUCGAGGAGAUCUUCCAGAUCUGCUGAGGAUUACUACUUCUAUAAGCCGUAGUGCUGUCGGAUCAUCUUCUGAUCAAGUGAGUGUGUAGUUAUUUUCUUCUAAUACAAUAAUACGAAGUAUUUUAUAUAAAAAUACGUGCUAUGUGUAUAUAUUUGGUUGUGUUAUGUGUGAAUGUGUAUUCACUCUCUUCUAUCUUAUAGAUCUGCUUAUUUCUUUAUGAGAUAUGUGUUAUGUGUGUGUGUGCCUCAUCUGUUAUGUGAUAUAUGUGUUGAUUAAAGCAUGCUAUACAGGUUUUCUUUAAACUAUGUAUACAAAUGUAUAUUUUUAUCUACUAAUAUGUUGGGUAGAACAUGGGUAGACAGUUGGUGUGUAAUAAACAGAUGAGAGGCCUCGUUGUUGUUUGAUUGAGUCAUCUAGCGGAGUUUAGAUGACGACCACUGGCUAUUCUAGACAGUCUUGUGGAAACAUUAGCAGGUUCGCCACCUGUAGGUGUUAAUGAACUUGGGUGUUCAUUCGCUGUACUCCAUCCCCCUCAUGGUUGCCUUAUUUGACUUAUAUUGCUGAGGUACCCCCGAAGCAUGUGUUGUCGCCCCGAUGAAAUAUUCUUAGACUAGGUCCCUUAUGUUAGUUGUUUUAGGGACAUUAAAGUGAGAAUAACGGGAAUGGGUAAUUGGGUUAUUGUUGGUUGGUGAAAAUUAAAUAUGAUAUUUAUUGUGGGUUGAAAACCCUAUAUGCUCACCAGGCUCCCAAGCCUGACCCACUCAGUUUUAAAUUGUAUUACAGGUAGUGGCGGAAGGGCAUGAGAUGGAUGAACCAUCAAGUUGUUUUGUUUACAAGUCUGCAUAUGUUUAUAUUUGUUAUAUGACUUGUAAUGUAUUCGUUUAUGCUUAUUGGUCUGUAUCGGAACAUGACACCCCGAGUUUUGAUUAUAAUGAAAAUACAUUUCUUUUAUGAAAUGCUUCGGUAAACAAUGUUUUAUCAUGUUUUGUUUUUGGGAACAAAUUCCGCAACUCUUUCAAAUCAAAAGGAUUUACUCUGAAAAUAUUUAAAAGCAUAAAUGAAAAUCGGUCUUUUCUGGCCGAGAUUUUGGGGAUGUCACAGUUGGUAUCAGAGCAUUAGUUUAAGCGAACUAGGAAUUUGUAGGAUUUCUAGACUUAAACUUAGAAUGCUAAGUGAAGUUUUGAGAUGUGUGUCUGUUGUGAUUUAGACACGAGCACUAGUUUAUUUUAGGAAAGUUGCCUAAAAUGCUUUAUGUGCUAAAUGUUAUAUGUUGCCAUAUAUGAUAUUAUUUGUUCGGAUCUAUGGUCUGUUGCCGACCGGAUCUAGAAACCUUAUGUGUGUAGGAUUCUAAGCGUACGUCUACGAUAUUAGAACUAGCAUGUAAACGUUUCGGAGUGAUAAGGAUGAUUUGAAUAUCUAUCAUGAUUGAGGAUCUAAUUUCACCUUAUUCGGUGUAGAUCAAAAUGGUGAGAACAAGAAGUGGAGUUGGAAAUGCUGACGAAAACAGGAAUCAACCACCAGUGAUUGAGCCAAUACCUGUCGUAGCAGCAGCACCUGAGCCAAUAACCAUGGCUGGUGUGCAAUUGAUGAUUCAGACGAUGUUGGAUCGUCAGAUGGAUGAAACUAGACGGUUGCUUCAACAAAAUCGUGAAGAACUGUCGAUUCGUGUGGAAGAGCCUGAACUGAAUGAAGGGCACUCGGAAGGUGGAAACUUCAGUGGGUCUGUUGGUCCAGCCAACCCACCGAUAGUUAGGCAAGAUAACCAUGAUGGAAGGAAUGAUGGAAUGGGAUGCAAGUACAAGGACUUUUUGACUUGUAAACCAUCGACCUUCAAUGGAAAGGAGGAUCCGAUUGGGGUUAUGGAUUGGAUCUCCGAAAUGGAGUUAGCCUUUAUGACAUGUGGCUGUAGAGGCAAGUUGCAGACUAUCUAUGCCGUGCGACAAUUCCGAGGUGGAGCCGUUCGUUGGUGGAACACUCUAGGGAAGACCUUAAGCCCUAAUGAGCCACUGCAAUUGUCAUGGGCAGAGUUCUUGGUGCAGUUCAAGCGCAAGUUCUGCUCGGCUCAAAAUCUGUUGGAGUUGGAGAACAAGUUUUUGACAUUGACGAAGGGUAGCAUGUCAGUGGAUGAGUACACCAAUAACUUCACCGAUAAGAUGGAGUUUGCCUUGCGUAUCGUUCCAGACGAGCUGACAAAGGUGGAUCGGUAUGCGAAGGGACUUCCAUGGGAGUACGAGGUGCCGGUACGUCAGGCACUUACUCUAGAGGCAGCUAUCUGGGCUGCCAAGUCUGUGGAGAACAUGAUCAAGGGGAGAACCACCGUCAAGGUUGAGGUUGGUGAGAAAAGGAAGUUUGAAGGAACAUCUGGUUCCAGUAAGAAGAGCAAAUUUUCGAAAUCUGAUUCGAAAAAGUUUGGAGGAAAAGGAGGCGAAGCAAAGUGGUGUGAUAAGUGUAAGAAAAAGCACUUUGGGAAAUGUAGCGAGGAUGUGACCUGCUACAAGUGUGGAAAGGUUGGACAUUUUGCCAAUGAAUGUCCGAACAACAAAAGGAUGUGUUUUGGGUGUAAUGAAGAGGGGCAUAUUUUGAAAGACUGUCCGAAGAAGAAGGAGGCAGCUAGGCCCAACAUUCCACCAAAGCCGAAGGCGAGAGCCUUCCAGAUGACACUUGAGGCUGCGAAAGAUGAAGCUGAUGUCGCUUCAGGUACCUUUCUCGUAAACGAAUUACCUGCUCAUAUAUUGUUUGAUUCUGGAGCCAACUACUCCUUUAUUUCGCAUGAGUUUGGUAGAAAGCUAGCUUUGCCUGUUGAUAGACUAGAUAAUGCUUUAUUAGUCGAAGUAGCUAGUGGCAAGUUUGUACCUGUUAGCCAUCGUAUGAAAAACGUCUUGAUCGACCUUAAUGGGAAUAAGUUUCUCGAGGAAUUAUUGCCUAUCGAACUAAAUGGUUUCGACAUCGUCUUGGGAAUGGAUUGGCUUAGCGCCAAUGAUGCCGAAAUUUUGUGCAAGAAGAAGAUAGUUAAAGUAAACCCGCCUGGGAAAGAUUCGUUUAUGGUGUAUGGGGACAAACGCAGAGUGAAUUCUGGAAUCAUUUCUCUAAUGAAAGCCAGAAAGUGUUUGACCAAGGGAUGUACAUCAUAUUUAGCAUUCGUGAUUGAUGCUAAGAAAGAAAAGAAGGUGAUGCAGAGCAUUCCAGUGGUGUGUGAUUAUCCGGAAGUAUUUCCCGAGGAUCUUCCUGGAUUACCACCUGAUAGACAAGUGGAGUUCAGAAUAGACUUGUUACCAGGAACCACGCCAAUAGCAAAAGCACCUUAUCGAUUAGCACCGACGGAGAUGAAGGAGCUGAUGAUGCAACUUCAGGAGUUAUUGGACAAAGGUUUCAUUAGACCUAGUUCAUCGCCCUGGGGAGCUCCGGUGUUAUUUGUAAAGAAGAAAGAUGGAAGUAUGAGAAUGUGCAUCGAUUACAGAGAGCUGAACAAGGCAACAAUAAAGAAUAGAUAUCCGUUGCCGAGGAUUGAUGACCUGUUUGAUCAAUUGCAAGGUUCGAGCUAUUUCUCGAAGAUCGAUCUUAGGUCAGGAUAUCAUCAGCUGAAAGUAAGAGAGCAAGAUAUCGAGAAGACUGCAUUCAGAACUAGAUAUGGACACUACGAGUUCUUGGUUAUGUCGUUUGGACUAACCAAUGCUCCAGCAGCGUUCAUGGAUUUGAUGAAUAGGGUUUGUAAUCCUUUCCUUGAUAAAUCCGUGAUAGUGUUCAUAGACGACAUUCUGAUCUACUCGAAAAGCCAGGAGGAGCAUGGCAGACACUUGCGAGAAGUGUUAGAAGUUUUGAAGAAGGAGAAGCUUUAUGCGAAGUUCUCCAAAUGUGAUUUUUGGAUUCGUGAGGUCCAAUUCUUGGGUCACGUGGUCAACCAAGAAGGGAUAAUGGUUGAUCCAGCGAAGAUCGAAGCUGUGACGAAGUGGGAACAACCGAAAAGUCCCACGGAGAUUCGAAGCUUUUUAGGAUUAGCCGGAUAUUACCGAAGGUUUAUCCAAGGCUUUUCUUCGAUUGCUACUCCAUUAACAGCUUUGACCCACAAAGGAGCUACUUAUGCUUGGAGUGAGAAGCAUAAAGAAGCAUUCGAGAAGUUAAAGAAGAAGCUAUGCGAGGCACCGAUACUUUCUCUACCCGAUGGAGUUGAAGACUUCGCUGUUUAUAGCGAUGCGUCUGGUGUUGGAUUGGGUUGUGUUUUGACCCAAAGAGAAAAGGUGAUAGCAUAUGCGUCUCGACAGCUGAAAGAGCAUGAAAAGAAUUACCCGACUCAUGAUUUGGAGUUGGCAGCGGUAGUUUUCGCUCUGAAAAUAUGGAGGCAUUACCUCUAUGGCACGAAGUGCAAACUUUUCACUGAUCAUAAGAGUCUCCAAUACCUCUUUAAUCAGAAAGAAUUGAAUAUGAGGCAACGACGCUGGCUAGAAUUACUUAAAGACUACGACUGCGAGAUACUUUACCACCCCGGUAAAGCUAAUGUUGUUGCUGAUGCUCUCAGUCGGAAAGUCAAUCUUGAAAGGAAGAGGCCAAGAGCGUUGAGAAUUGAAGUUGUCUCGACUAUUGUGGAAAGUAUAAAGAAAGCUCAAGAGGAAGCUUCUGAGAAAAAUGACCGAAAGGAGGAACGUUUGGGUAAAACGUUGGUGUUUGGUACUAACGGUCAUGGACUGAAGGUAUUCCAAGAUCGUAUUUGGGUACCUAAGUCAGGAGGAAUUAGGGAUCUUCUGAUGGAAGAAGCUCACAAAACCAUGUACUCAAUUCAUCCGGGUAGCACUAAAAUGUAUAGGGACCUGAAACCCUACUACUGGUGGCCGACGAUGAAGCUUGAUGUUGCAAAGUAUGUGGCCGAGUGUGUGACUUGUGCGAGAGUCAAGACACAACAUCAGAAACCUUACGGGAGUUUAGAACCAUUGCCUGUGCCUAUGGGUAAGUGGGAAGACAUUGCUAUGGAUUUUGUCACUAAACUGCCCAGAACAAAGAAUGGUCACGACAUGAUUUGGGUGGUCGUUGAUCGAUUCACUAAGAGUGCGCAUUUCAUAGCGGCCAGGGAGAAAUGGUCUAUGGAAAAGCUUGCGAAUUCUUACGUGAAGGAAAUUGUGAGGCUUCACGGUGUUCCGUUAACGAUUGUAUCGGAUCGUGAUAGCCGUUUCACCUCAAGGUUUUGGAAAAGUCUACAAGAGGAAAUGGGUACCAAGUUAUGUUUAAGCACAGCUUACCAUCCGCAGACUGAUGGUCAGAGUGAAAGAACAAUACAAACACUUGAAGAUAUGCUGAGAGCAUGUACCUUGGAAUUCCUAGGUAAUUGGGAUGAACAUUUACCGUUGGUAGAAUUUUCCUAUAAUAAUAGUUUUCACUCGAGCAUUAAGAUGGCACCUUAUCAAGCUUUGUAUGGACAGAAGUGUCGUACGCCGUCUUGUUGGCUUGAGGCUGGGGAAAAGCAGUUUAUGGGACCGGAGAUGGUUCAUCAAACUGCUGAAAAGUUGAAAAUAAUUAGGGAAAGAAUGUUAGCAGCUCAAGAUCGUCAAAAGAGCUAUGCUGACAAGAAGCGAAGACCGAUGACUUUUGAGGUUGGAGAUUCGGUUUUGCUUAAAGUCUCGCCGUGGAAGGGACUUAUAAGAUUUGGUAAAAGGGGAAAGUUGAGUCCAAGGUUUAUUGGACCGUUUAAAGUCCUUCAGAGGAUUGGGAAUCAAGCUUACAAGCUCGAAUUACCCGAAGAACUGAAUGGAAUUCACAACACCUUUCAUGUGUGUUAUUUGAGGAAGUUCACGGGAGAAGUUCCCGAUAUAAUUCCAAUUUCUGAAUUGAGAAUUGAUGAGAACAAAAGGUUGAUUGAAGAACCAGAGGCAAUUGUUGACCGAAAGACUAAGAAGUUGCGACGCAAAAUGGUUGGGUUAGUGCUUGUCCGAUGGAAACACACGAAUGGGCCGAAUCUCACCUGGGAGACGGAGAGUGACAUGUUGAGUCGCUAUCCGCAUUUGUUUGUUGAUGUGUGAUUCCGGGGACGGAAUCAUUCUAAGGUGGAGAGAAUUGUAACGCCUGUGUUUCCGGGCUUGCCAUUUUUAGCAAUGUAAUAGUCUAGGUUAACCUUUGUAACCCGUUUUGAAAUAAUAAGAUUGUAUUAUUUGAGUAUUAUGUGUUUUGUGCUUAAUUGCUUAAUUAUGUGGUUUGAUUAAUUAAGAAUAAAAAUAAGCGUCAAAAUUUAAGUGUAAAAUAAACUUAAUAUCUUUGGUUAAUGUUGUAGUAGUUGAAACGAGGUUUCCGAAUAUAUAUAGAACGCCCAAAUCUGACUUCGUAUGAGGAAGUUAUGAUUUAUCGAAGUUCCGGCUUAGCGAUAUACAGCCUGUUUUACUCGAUUUGAGAUCGAGCGGUUGUUAGCCGAAGCAAUCUAAAUGAGAAUCGAAGAUCUCAUUGUUGGUAUUGAAACGAUAAAAAGUUAGGCGAGAACGGACGUCAAACGAAGAAGUUAUGAAUUUAUAACGAAAGUUUCUGUCCCGGCCUAUUAAAAAUAAUUAAUAAAAAUAAAGUCAAAAUUAGCCGACGGAGUCUAAACGAAAGUCGUAGAGCGUGGUCUCACCUUCGCGUGGAUAUAAAGAACGUCGAAAACGGAGUUCGUAUGAAGAAGUUAUGAAUUUCCGAAGUUUAUUAAUCAUUUUGUAUUUAUUUUUAAUUCAAAAUUCGGAAGCAUUAUCCGAAGGAGUCACCGAUCUGAUCCGAGGUACGCCCCGCGUACUCGAGUACGCCCCGCGUACUCCGAGGGAUGUCGACACUCGCACUCGAGCACUUCGGAUACGUAAGCAAUGACGUUUUGGGCAGUACGCCCCGCGUAACGCAGUACGCCCCGCGUACUCCGAGGCUCCAGCCUCCUAUAAAUAGGAUGCGAGGGUUCCGGGUAUUUUUGCCAAUUCCCUCUCGUUUUCGUGUCGAAGCUCUGUGCAAAAACCCCCGAAGCUACCCCGAAGUCCCGGUAUCAUACUCUAGCCCCGAGGCAAGUCCCGAGAUCCUGAAGAUCCCGAAAAGUGCGGUUCCCGAGUCGAAGCUCUGCCCGCGAGAAGUUCGAUUUUCGAGAAGAUCUUCCAGAUCUGCUGUGGAUUACUACUUCUAUAAGCCGUAGUGCUGUCCGAUCAUCUUCUGAUCAAGUGAGUGUGUAGUUAUUUCUUCUAAUACAAUAAUACGAAGUAUUUUAUAUAAAAAUACGUGCUAUGUGUAUAUAUUUGGUUGUGUUAUGUGUGAAUGAGUAUUCACUCUCUUCUAUCUUAUAGAUCUGCUUAUUUCUUUAUGAGAUAUGUGUUAUGUGUGUGUGUGCCUCAUCUGUUAUGUGAUAUAUGUGUUGAUUAAAGCAUGCUAUACAGGUUUUCUUUAAACUAUGUAUACAAAUGUAUAUUUUUAUCUACUAAUAUGUUGGGUAGAACAUGGGUAGACAGUUGGUGUGUAAUAAACAGAUGAGAGGCCUCGUUGUUGUUUGAUUGAGUCAUCUAGCGGAGUUUAGAUGACGACCACUGGCUAUUCUAGACAGUCUUGUGGAAACAUUAGCAGGUUCGCCACCUGUAGGUGUUAAUG
rnacentral:lncRNA from 1 species